rnacentral:lncRNA from 1 species
GAACAUGCCCCUAGUAAUCAAUAAAAAAGACUUAUCAGCCUUCGACAAUUAACACACGGUAGGGUACACGAGCUGUGUGAACGUGUGUGGAAAAAUCAUUGGCCGUGGAUGUUCAGAAAGUUACAGUAAAUUUUUGAUCUGCUGAAAUACUACAAUUGUAAUCCUUAAUUAAUCCAUUGAAAUUUAAUUUUUGGAAAGCUAAUAGGAGAUUCACUAUUGAGAAAUUGUGGCAAAGAAGAAAUGAAGAAAAUGAGUAAGUUGACGGAGGAUUGGUGUUCGAAAUGUAAUUGGCAGCAGUUGAGGGUUUGAAAAGGAGAAUGAUGGAUUUGGUGAUCUCUUGUGGAGAAUCCAGUUAUCUAUCUGAUGGAUUAAAUCUGAUAAUUAAUCGCCAAAUGAGAAUGUUAUCUAUUUGACAACAACAAUCUACCCUUACAUCAAACCAUGUAUUUUUUAAAAUAUUGCUUCUAUUUUUGUUAUUUUCUGAUCAAAACUUAAUUUAAUUAUAUGGGCACUGAAUUUUUUUUUCUUUCUAGAAUAACAUUUAUUAAUCAGUAAAAACACUAAUUUUCUCUACAUCUUAAACUCUAAAACUUUAUCUCACCCCUUCA